UAUUCUAAUUAGUGUAGCUACCAACAGUGGUUUUGGUGGGGACCAUUAUAAUGGAAUAUAUAGAGCCUAUAUAUGUAGUGUACUAUGCAGGCCAUCAAAGUCAAGGGGCUAGUGAUGAUGGUGUUACAUUGGGAAGCAGCUUACCCGAUAUUGGGGAAGUCUAUCACCUGAAACUGGGGAAGCAAGAUGACGUUGCUACAUCACUUUAAAUCCUACGCAGCUUUUCACGUGUUAAUUUUUAUGGUCAACUUAUUUAAAUCUUGCGCAUCUAUGAUUAGAUUAGCUGUCAAAUUCUCUCGUGCUUCCAAAUAGUACGUAGGCUC
rnacentral:lncRNA from 1 species